CCUACGGGAGGCAGCAGUGGGGAAUAUUGCACAAUGGGCGCAAGCCUGAUGCAGCCAUGCCGCGUGUGUGAAGAAGGCCUUCGGGUUGUAAAGCACUUUCAGCGGGGAGAAAGGCGUUAAGGUUAAUAACCUUGGCGAUUGACGUUACCCGCAGAAGAAGCACCGGCUAACUCCGUGCCAGCAGCCGCGGUAAUACGGAGGGUGCAAGCGUUAAUCGGAAUUACUGGGCGUAAAGCGCACGCAGGCGGUCUGUCAAGUCGGAUGUGAAAUCCCCGGGCUCAACCUGGGAACUGCAUUCGAAACUGGCAGGCUAGAGUCUUGUAGAGGGGGGUAGAAUUCCAGGUGUAGCGGUGAAAUGCGUAGAGAUCUGGAGGAAUACCGGUGGCGAAGGCGGCCCCCUGGACAAAGACUGACGCUCAGGUGCGAAAGCGUGGGGAGCAAACAGGAUUAGAUACCCUAGUAGUC
rnacentral:rRNA from 1 species